rnacentral:rRNA from 1 species
CGUAGGUGGCAAGCGUUGUCCGGAAUUAUUGGGCGUAAAGGGCGCGUAGGCGGCACCCUAAGUCAGAUGUGAAAACCCGGGGCUUAACUCCGGAGGUGCAUUUGAAACUGGGGAGCUUGAGUGCAGGAGAGGUAAGUGGAAUUCCUAGUGUAGCGGUGAAAUGCGUAGAUAUUAGGAGGAACACCAGUGGCGAAGGCGACUUACUGGACUGUAACUGACGCUGAGGCGCGAAAGCGUGGGGAGCAAACAGGAUUAGAUACCCUGGUAGUCCACGCUGUAAACGAUGGAUACUAGGUGUGGGAGGUAUCGACCCCUUCCGUGCCGCAGUAAACGCAAUAAGUAUCCCGCCUGGGGAGUACGGCCGCAAGGUUG